GCUGUCCCAUCCCUGGAAGUGUCCAAGGCCAGGUUGGAUGGGGCCUGGAGGAAUCUGAUCUGGUGGAAGGAGUCCCUGGCCAUGGAGGGUUGGAACUCCUCAGUCUCUGAGGUCCCUUCCAACCAUUCUAGGGUUCCAUGGAAUGCUGCACACUCACAGCUCCAACUUGGUGCUUUGCAUCUUGGCAUUUCAGAGGCAUGGAGGAAAUCAUCCCAAGCAAUUCAUUCAGCCAUACAGUUGUCUUUCAUAUGAGCAGCUUGUGGGUGUCACCUACUAAUUCCCCAAGAUGCAACUUUAUAAAUGCACCAGGCAACAUCAGGACAACAGGCUCAUUCACAGGAGCUGUGCCACGCAUUGAGAUCCUUCAGCAGGGUCUGAAAAGGACAACAGAACGUCGUAAAAAAAUAGGAUGGAUUGAGUGCGUUCCACCCUGAAAGGCAGGAAAAAGCCUUCACAGCAUGUCUGAAAUUCAGCACCAUUUGAAGACAUCUAUUGGAAAAGCUUGUGUGAAAUCCUAUCAAUGUUUAAGAUUAUUGGGAGGUGGGAGAGAGGAGUUUUGGGCAUGUCUGAUGAUUCCAUAAACCUAUGGCAGUGUGACAAAAGAGGGGAUCAGCCACCAGGAUUAGUGUGGGGGUGACAGAAGGAAGGCAAAAUUAAAUGCAGAAAAAGGUCAAGUUUGAGGAUCUAAUACAACUCCCUCAGUGGAAAUGGUAAGAUCUGCAUGAAGCAAUUAAAGAAUUCAAGCAACUCUAGUUAUAAAAUACCUCAUCACUUAUCCACCCCUUCCCUUUAUUGCAAAAAAAACUUGGUUGAAUGAAUGUUUAUCAUGAAAAAAUUUCUCAGAAGAUAAAAGAAAUUACCCUAAACUUAGUUCUAACAAGAGCACAGAGAUGGGUAAAUGAUCAUCCUUAUAACUAUUACUAUGUGUAACCAGUGUUUGUAACUAAAAUUCCAAGACAAGUCAACAUAUUUGAAUUCAUUCUGACACCCUGGGAGAAGAGGCAAACCCCCAGCUCUGUUCAACUCCCUCUUUUAAGUAGUUUAAAUGUUCAGCUCAAACUCUCUGCACUUCCUCUGUAGGAUCUUAUAUAAAACUGAUGGCUAAUAGACUGUCUGUCCUGUUUAAAGGGAAAAAUAAUUAAGAAUUUGGCUUGAAAUUUAUUUAUCUGAGUGUGACCAAUACCUUUCAAUUUUACUACAGAAAGUCAAGGUCUUUUGGACUUUUGACCAUCAAUGAACAGCAAAUGCUGUGGUUGAGGAAAAUUUCCCUGGUUAGGAAAAAAAACCAGUAUAUGGUUUGAAAAACAAAUGUAUGGGCAGAUAAUGCUCAGGUAUGAAUAUUAUCCUCAGAGCAAUGAUAGCUAAAAUGUCAAAUUCCAGGUGAGUUUCCAUUGCACCAAUGGAGGACAAUAUGUGGAAUCCGUGUGAAUUAAAUAACUGUAUUCUGGAGAACAAUGUUCUCACUAAGGAAAUGCAGUAAAAAGUUGAAACUUCACAGAACCUGUAACAAUAGGAAUAAAGCACAAAUAUUAAGUAUAUUAAUAAUAACUGUCAUGUUACAUCCCAGAAGGUUUUUUCCUCAGCCUUGGCACUUCUCUCCACAGCAGUUUUCAUUAGUGGUUGCAGUUAAGACCAGCAAGAAUCUGUUCUUUCCAUUUCUAUUAACAUUUUAAGAAACAGGGACAUUGUGGGCAAAUCAAACUCAACUGGAACAGGAGGUAAAUCCCUCAGCCACAUCCAAUUUGGAUUCCUUUUUCUAGACAGAGCUAGUGUAGAUUUAAACCUGCUGAAUUAGUCAUGAUUUGCAGUCAGGUCAGCGAGAGCUGACUCAGAUUGUUGCUAUGAGGUGUAAGAAGACUCUUGGUGCUCGUCUGGUGUAAGCCAUCUACAGCACUGAAGUCAACAGAGCUAAUUAUAUUUAAUUAUUUAUACAGGCAGAUAAAAUUAUUCAUAAUUUAUACCUGUUGAUCUGCAUCCCCCAUGGUUUUAGUGCUUUACAUAAAAGUUCAGUACCUGGACAGUUGCUGUGUGAUACAUCUGGUCUCGUAGUUCAGUAAUAGAGAUGUUUCCAGAAAGAGUAGUUAAACCUAUUUGCAGAGCCAAGAAAAAUA